UUUCAAUUAAUCUAAUAAAGUCAAGGUUUUUCUUUUAAUUUUCAAGUUUUAAAUUGUACUUUUUGAAAUAUAUGUGUAUUUUCUAAAAAAGGAAAAAAAUAAAAAAUAAAAAAAGAGAGAAGGAUUUAUAAGCCAAUUCAACAAUUAAUUAACAUGAUUAUUAGUAUUAUUUCAUUUUUGUAUUGGUACCUGUGGUCGUCGUUGUUGUCGGUUUUACAGUCGCCAGUCGGAGCUUUUACUGUCAGUGCUCCACUUAGAACGUAUAAACAUAUGCAUUCCCGCCACGGCCAUUGAAGCAUAAAAGAGAAGCAAAGAAGAAGAAGAUGUUGGAAGCGAAGAGUCUUCGGAAAGCGGUGAUUCCGUCCACUCUCAUCUCCAAUCCUUCUCCUGGAAACCUUCAAUCUACUCGCCUCGCCCUCCAUGUUACCAGUGACGGUUCCUCUUGUUGGGUCUAUGUUGCUUCCGGUUGCCAUGUUUACAAACUUCGGAUUCCAUUGGAAGAUUCUUUGGUCAGCAAAGGAAAGGAAAGCUUAUUAAUCCCCAUACAUACACAGGUUAUGGAAUCUUUCUUAGUUAACCGCUGUCCUCACCGUUCGGAAAUUCAGAGUAUAGUGCUCGCUGAAACUGACAGCAAUGACUAUUUAAUGUUGGGAAGUGUUGAUGCUUAUGGUCAUCUUAUUGUAUCCAAAUUAGACACCACUGGUAAAGAUGUUGAUAGGCUUACAUAUACAGUCUUGCCUCGUGAUUCUGGUGUUGGAGAAAGUAGCUGGGCAGGGGUCUGUUUCAGUCCAACUCAAUGGUCUAUGGCAGCUGUGGCACGUAGCUUAUGCAAAACUGUUGAUAUUUAUGAUCAGGAUAUACAUGUGCUGACAUUACGGACACUCUUGUAUCCAUCAUCUUUAAACUUUCUACCAAAUAUGUAUACUGGCAAUGAAAAUUCUGUAUUAGCCAUUGCUGAAGGUUGCCAGCUGUCAAUAUGGGACUUGAGAAUGAAAGAAAAUGGCGGUUGUCUACAACGAAUCUCCGGUUCUCUUGGUGAUGUUUACUAUGCUGUCUGCGGCUCUCCAACUGGUAAUAUUGCAGCAGGUGGAGCUGAUCGUACCGUGACUAUCUAUGAUCCUCGCAGAUGGUCUGCACUAUCAAGAUGGGUGCAUUGCUCAAAAUAUGAGAUAACUGGACUUGCUUUCUCCUCAAUCGAUUCAGACUAUAUCUAUGUGCAAGGGGUUGAUUACGAGGUGUUUUGUGGAAAUUGGAAAGAAAGCAGUCGGGUUUUUUCAUUUAGAGGAGACUCAAACUGGCUUGGCUUUGGCAAGUGCUACAACAGGGAUGUUCUUGGCGGAUGGUGCGACUCGGGUAGCAUCUUUGUGGCUGAUGUUGUAGCCAAAGAAAGCGAAAUGGACUCUUCAAAAGAUUUUGUUUGUUAAUGGAUCUUUUUAGUCCUGUCAUCUCAUCUACAUUGAUUGCGCUUUGUUUUUUUUCAUGCUAUCACAAGGGAAAGGGUUUGAACCUAAUCAGCAGCCUCCUUCCGCAAACCUGCCUGCUAUGAUCUUGAGCAUCCUACCUGGCCCCAUUCGAUUCAAUGAAGAAAUUAUCCUUACCCAAUUCAACAUGAUUUUCUUGGCUCUAUGGACUCCACCUUUUCAAUUCAACAGCAAGAGAUCUAUGCACCUUGGCCGGUUCUAAUACAUUUGUCUCCUGUUUAGCUCCCAUGCGGCCCGUUUGCAAUAGUUGAGCCACUACCAUUUUGGCUUUAGCUUCUAGGGGAUUGUUUGUGAAAAUGGUGGGAGUGGAACUGAUUGGAAUUGGCAUGGUUGUUGAAAGCCACUAGCUAGUUAUACAUAUCUUACUUGGCAUAGUUUUUUUUUU